UCUUGAAUGUGAUCAUGAUUCAAUCAUAUACCUUGGGAAGUCUGUUGAACCAACAAUAUAUGAUCUUUUGGGUGAUCAAGAGGUUGAAAUCUACUUGUUGAAAAAUGGAAAACCAUCAUGGACGAAGAAGAAGUUUCUUUGCUCCAAAGUCAG